rnacentral:lncRNA from 1 species
AAGUCAUAAAAAAAGUCUUUGGGUUUGAAUUAUAUUCAUUCUUGCUCUUUAAACACUUUUGGGUUAAAAUUAAAACAAAAGAAUUAAACCUAUAUUACAAGCUGCGUCUCAAAAGUCUUUGCAUAGUGUCCGUGACACUGUCGGGCAACAGGUUCCGAACGGUUGAUAUUGACGUUAACCUAACGGUUGUCUUUUUGUGACGGUUGUCUUUGUUUGUGUGAAUUAUUCAAUAAAAAAUUGUCUAAAGUUUCAUAUUUAUUUGUCAUUCUAUGACCCAGUUGAUUGAUCAACAUGUCGAUACGUUAAAUGCAGUGUUUAUUUGGAUUUUUAUAUCUAACAUUAAUAGACUUAUAAUUGAAAGAAACAAAUAUGUUGUAUCCUUACGAUAUAAAUAACUGAGUUUUUAAAAUGUACGUGUUCUUGAUUAUAUAUUUUAAGUUUUGAAUUCUUUAAUAUGUCAUUGCCGCUAAGAGUAAUAAUGAGAGUUGUUGGGAAAUUUUUAAAGGCUUUUUAAAGACAAAUCAGUAAGAAGAUUUGAUGGUAUUAAAUUAUUUGACCCCCUAUAUAUAACAGGUGUUUUCACACUCAAGGCAAUCACUUAUUGUCAAAGAAAAAGAGAAAUAAGUCCGUUUGUUUAUGACCUUGAGAUUUGUCUCUUUUUUUUAUUUGGUAAUAAUGGGGAACUGCAUGGAGAGGUGGAUGCAAGGAGAAGGAGAAGAAGGAGAGAUAGAGGCAAGAGCAAAGGCAAAAGAGUCAUUCAAACUUGAUGGUGAUGAUGAUGACCAAGAUGGAGGUCAAGGUGGAACGAAGGUGAAGAUAGUGCUUACAAGACAUGAAUUGGAUAUGUUUUUGCUUCAGAUGAAUAGGAAUCAUGAAGGAAACUUGAUGAUGACAAAGGAUGUUAUGGUAGAGCUAGAGAAGAGGAUCAUAAAACCAACACCAUCUUUAUCAUCAUCACCAACAUCGAUGGCGUGGGAACCAUCUUUAGAGAGCAUCAUCGAGUGCCCCGAAGCUCAAGAGAUGGAUAGAUGAGGACGCUAUGAUGAUCUAAAUUGCAUUGUGUUAAAUCACGGUGAUCGGAAAUUAUAUAAUUAACAUUUUUGCAUCACUCUAUGUUUUUAGAUAGAUAAUUUUUGUUAGACUAGACUCGAGGUCGAUAUCGUACCAUAUAUAAUAAGAUCUUUAAUCUAUCAAGAAAUAUAAAAUUAAUGUGGUUACUUUUAUUAUACGUUAUAUACAAUAGGUUUGGACAAUUAACGAAUAUCGGGGGUGUAGCUCAUAUGGUAGAGCGCUCGCUUCGCAUGCGAGAGGCACGGGGUUCGAUUCCCCGCACCUCCAACUUUUUAAUCGGUUAAUUAAUUUUUGGUUUAACAAAAGCUCGACCGUCGGAUUCUUCUUUAUUGCCUUUAUCGAAAAAUCAACGGCGUAGAAUCAAACGAAGAAACAGAUAGAGAUACAAAAUAAAAAAAAAUCAUAUGAGACCGUUGGUCUCUCUCCUUCCCUCUUUCUCAGCCUCUCGUUCCUCAUCUAACUGUAGAAGAGCACCGCCGAUGCUCCUCCGCCGGUGACUUUCUCUUCCCUUUAAUUCCCGAUUAAAACAAUGAGCAGUCAGUUAGUUUCUUCCGUAUUCUCCGGAAUACAUCGCAUACCUAACCGUCACGAGACUCAUUCUCUCCUUCGCUCAAUUCUCUUCAUCCACGGGAACAAACCGGCCUGUAUUGAUCGUCGACGACCGAUUCUGCAUUCUUCCUGUGGAUAUCGGAACAGAUACAGAGUCGGCGCCGCGGCUGAUGUUUCGGAAACGCCUUCGUCGUCUCUUCUCGACGACGAGCUUAUGAGCAGUGUAUCCGCCGUUAGGGAUGCGGACGAAGCGCUCGAGAUGAUUAGCAAUCGGUUCGGACCAAAUCGCGGCGGAGUAGUUGAAAUCGAAGAUUGCCGCUCGAUAAUCUCGGCUGCUGUGAGCCGCGGCAAUGUCGAGCUUGCGUUGUCGAUUUUCUACGCCAUGCGAGCGAGUUUCGAUUUAGGUAAGGAGUUUCUGUGAUUUAUUGAGUAAGCAAGUUUAUGAAUGGUUGUGUGUGUGUUUGGUAGGUGGGAGUGAAGUUGAUCGAUGGAGAUGGUCAAGGCCUGAUGUAGAGGUCUACACGAUGUUGGUCAAUGGACUUGCUGCUUCCUUGAGGGUUUCUGAUUCUCUAAAGAUCAUUAGAGAUAUUUGCCGCGUUGGAAUCUCCCCUGCUGAGGAGGUAACGUACUCUAGUUUCUGCAAUAGUUAUGAUUCGAUUAGGUAGGGGUUAAUGGAUUAUGUUUUUAAGCAUGAUAUAAUCGAAUAUACAUUGGUAUUGAUAUAGGUUCCCUUUGGUAAAGUUGUGAGAUGUCCAAGCUGUUUGAUUGCCAUUGCUGUUGCACAACCCCAGCAUGGAGUUCAGGUGAUCAUUGAUCUCUAUCUGAUCUAUUCCUCAGUGUUUAACCUAUCUUUUUAAGAAUAAUAAUAAUAAUACGCGUUUUUCUCUGAUUAUGUUUCUAGAUUGUCUCCUGUGCUAAAUGCCGAUACCAAUACGAGCUUUUCUCUGGUGACAUUACCAGCAUAGAAUCAGAAGAGCUCGGGUUAGUUCUCUUUCAAUACGUUUUCUGUUUUCUGUUACAUAGCUCUAGGGCUUGUUUUGGUUAUAGAGAGCGGGUUGUGACUUGUGACCGGAAAAAAGAUUGAAAUGUGUGUGGUGUUAUAUCUGUUGAACAGAGAGUUGACUGUGUGUUGAUUAAUUGUGCAGCUUCUGGUCCAGUGGCUAUAGUUCAGAAGAUGACAGGUUCAUGGGUCUCAAAGGGAAGGACUUACUACAGAUACUCAACAACUGUAACAAACAAAUCACCAAGAGCUCUGAAAAGUCUUAACCUGUCAAUCAAGAAUCUCUACGGACCAAUCUGGGGACUCUCUAGAUCAGGAAACUCAUUCGGUUUACCUUCCUGGAUGCACUCAUUGCAAUCCGGAAAGUCCCUAGAGUUCGUCUACAUUCACUCUACAACUCCCGCCAAUGUCGCGGUUUCAGGCUACACGUUGGCUUGACCAGACAACAACAACUUCAAAAGGAAUCACAGUGUGUAUAGGUCGUGAGAAGAAGAAGAAAGCGUUGGUUUUUUCGUCUGGUUCGUCAAGAAAGUUAAAAGGUUUGGUCUUUUUAUUUUUAUUUUGCAUUUUUCGUGUUCCUCUGGCGAAUAUGAAAGGGUUGAAGAAGGGUGGAAGAAAGGUGUGAAGAGAGUGAAUGACUCUUCAGAAAAUUUAGAAGAAGAGUGAAAGUGCUCAUCCUCUUUCUACUUCAAGUUCAAUGCUUUUUUAAAUUUAUAUAUAUAUAUAGUGAGAGAGAGGAAGAUAGAAAAAAAAAAGAUAGUGUCUUGUGAGAAUUUGCAGGGAUUGUUUUUUUCAUUCCUUGUAGCUCAAAACAUGUGCAUGCCUUUGUCCUUUUGUGUGUGUUUAUCUUUCUUGGUGGUCAGUUGUAAAACUCAACAACAGUCCUUAAUGGAAUGUGAUAUGGUUAUUAACUUGUGUUAAGUACUUGUCGUCCAUAGACAAACUGAAGUUUAGCCAUAUUAAUUAAUGAUAAAGCCAAAAAUAAAACCUUCCCCAGAUUGUUUAUUUUUCUACACAAUGUGAUGAAUCUUGGUAGAUUUUACAUUUUAGUUUAUACAGAUAAUUUUAUUACAAUAUAAAACCCCGAAGCUUCAUCAUGCUUAAAGAUAAUUGUAAAAUUUUCAUAAUGUAGCCUGAAUGUGUUGUUGUUGAUGUAAACAAAAUAAAAUUGAAUGAGACUAUUAAUUGACCUGAUAGUAAUUGAGAUGCCGAGGCCUUUGCUUCUUAUAAGAAGAUGUGACAAGCCAUUUACAAGAAAGAAAAAAAGAAGGUGUGAUGAGAUCUCUUUCCAUGUCGAAUGAUACUGCGUCCAAGUGAACACCUCUUAUCAGCUCAAAUCCCUCCAGCUACAAAUAAAAAUGAAAAACCCCAUUGUGUAGUAAAAAAAAUUGCCGUAAGACUCCAAUAUAUUUUGCUAUUUUUUUUAAUAAAAAAAUUAUAUAAUAGAAAUAAAUAUAUGUUCCAAUGUAUUUUUUUAAGAUAGCAAUCUCCAAUAUAUAGUAAAAUAUAGAGAACUGUUAUUUUUAUUUUUAUAAAUGCAAUACAUGUUUCUAACACUUGCAAUACAUGUUUCUCACACCCUAUUUAUGAGUCAAUUUGAAAAAUUCGAAAUAGUUAAGUUUAUGGUCAAAUAUCAUGGUUAAUAUCUUGUUUCCUAUUUUUGUUUCACUUGCAUAUAAUACUUUCCAAAAAUUGAAAUUUAGAAAGGAACAAUCAGGAAUUUUUAUGAUUGAAUUAUAGCGAAAAUAUAUUCAUUUCACUGAAAUAAAACGAGCCUAAACCUCAUAUCUUGUGACUGUAUAUAUGAUACUAAGCUAAAAACUUAGGCAUCACAACGAACAAUAUGUGUUAAAUUUCUUAGUUAAAUAGCUUGAUCUGUUGUCGUUAGUUUAAUUAUAUUUGUUUAACCCAGAUAGUCCAGUUCAUCUGAAAGUCCGUGUUGAUUGCUUUUCAUUGAUCUGUAUAUCAAACGUUACAUUAUUGUAACAUGUAUUAUUUGUUACUAUGACUUUUUAUUUUUUAAAUAUUUACUAAUUUUUAACUUUUUUUAAUCUAUUCACUCCAUGCAAGGCAUAUAUCACCGCCUAGUAUAUAGUAAAAUAUAGAAAAUGCUAUUUUUUUUUCUAUUAAUGCAAAAAUAUGUACAUUGGUUACAUGUUUCUAACACUUUAUUUUUACUUCACAUCAUGAUCUCUCUUACACAUCAUCUUUUUUUCACAUCAUAAUUUAACACCCACUCAAUUUUUAUUCUCAAGAAUGAUUUGGUUUAAAAAAAAUUACAACACCGUACCCCACUAAUUUUAUUUAUAUUUUUAUAUUAUUUUAUGUCUUUUUUGUGAUUAUAAAAAUUAUAAUUUCAAAUUAAAUCAAAUAAUUAAGAACUAAAUAAAUUUAUAACAUAAUUGAUCUUUUUCGUUUUUAUUUUAUAUAUUAAUAUUUUUUUAAAAAAAAUAGCAGGAGCUAAUAGCAAAAAUAUAGUAAAAAAGAUGAGUUUGUUUAUGUGUCCAAAUGAAAUUAAACAAAUCUCUAUUUAUAAAGUAUGAAAAUAAUGAAUGUUGAUAUAAAACUUUUAUAUAUAAUUAUAAUUAUAUUAAAUAAUUGAUAUUAAAUAAUGGAGAUGGAAAAAAUUAAAAAAUAAGAGUAUCCAAUCAGUUUUUUACAUUUGUUUUCAUCCACCUAUUAACGUUGCAAUUAAAAUUUGAGAAACAAACUUAAUAUUUUGCUCUAAUCAACAUUUGCCACGUCAUACAAGAAAAUAUAUUUUAUCAACGCUGUUGAUAAGUUUCAACACUAAAUUUGCCACAUCAUGUAUUUUACUUUUACAAUAAACUAUUGUAAAUUUAUCAACAAUUGUUAAUAUUUAUCAAGAGUUGAUAAAUCUUCUAUUGUAAGUAGUCUAAAAAAAUAUAGCAAUCUAUAUUUUAAAAGAAUAAAUAAAGUAGGGCUGGAACCGUUUUAAGCCCUAAAUAUUAUUAUAAAUGUAAAUAUAGUGGUGAUCUGAAGAUACUAUGAGAAAAAAACAACAAGAACUAAGAAGACUCAUGAACAAAUUAUAACUUUUUUUUGUCUUUGGCUACUCUACUGAAUUCUUCAAGGAUAACUCAAAAUUAUUUCAAUUUGUAUUCUCUCUAUUUCAUUACUAUUAAAAUUUAGAUUUUAUAUAAAAACAAAAAAACACGAUUAAUUUUAUUUAUUUAUUUAUGACAUUUUCUGAACGGAAUCGUAAGUUUCCAACGUGUUUUUAAAUACGAUAUUUUGGAAGCGAGAUUCUGCAAGCUUCCACAAAGUUUCGAUUCUGAUUUCGGUUCCGAAUCGGGAAGCAGACGUCCGAUGAAGUUUCCUUGCUUUUUAACGAAUAUCUCAUUGAUUUUUUCUAUGUUUUUUUUUUCAGUUCAGGAAACAUAAUAUAUAAGAAAAAGAAAACUCUAAAAUUCUUAUAUAAGUAUAUCAAUUAUGUUUGAUUGACUUAUGGAGAUAUAAAAAUAUACAAAAUAUUUUACUAUAACAUAAAAAUGUAUAUGUGUUCAUUAGCAGGAACGAGUAACAAGCGAAAAACACCAAAUACUUAUUUUUAUUUAAUAUUUGAUAGUUGUUUUAUAUUUGCAAAUAAUUUAAAUAUAUUACUUAAUUAGUACCAGUCAAUGUAAAUACCCGACUAUAUGGAUCAGCUACAUACCAAAUAGGGAAUUCGAGACAAGUUACAAGUAAUCAUGCCCACUCCUACAAGUAGGCUACUACUAUCACUAAAUCUUGGACAAUAGUAUAUGCUACUUUCAUUUCACAUGAAAAUAGAGGAUUCAGUUUAGGCCUAUAAAUUACAUUAUAGCCCAUUUUUGUUAAUUUAUUUCUCUCGAGUUUACUAUGCAGUUUACACGUAUGACAUCAGGCUAUUUAUUUAUUAGAUCAUGGCCUGAAAGUCAUACCUAAAAUCUUGAACUUGUCUCCCUACAUCUCAUUAAUUUUCGGUGUGGUCUAUGAGAUAUAUACAAUAGUAUAUUUGUUAUCUAGUGAAAGCUUGAAAGAACAUCCAAAUAUUAAAUUUACUAGAAACAAUAUAUCAGGGAGAUGGGCAUCAUAAAUUUCAACUUGUACAUAGUAAAACACUUAAAAUUCAAUUUUAUUUUCUUUUAAUGUUCAGUGAUUCUGCAUGUAAAUUUCGGAGGAUAUAUUAGUGUUCACAUUUGGUCCAAGCAUGUGAUCGGAUUUUCACAUUGGCGAAAAAGUCAUAAAAAAAGUCUUUGGGUUUGAAUUAUAUUCAUUCUUGCUCUUUAAACACUUUUGGGUUAAAAUUAAAACAAAAGAAUUAAACCUAUAUUACAAGCUGCGUCUCAAAAGUCUUUGCAUAGUGUCCGUGACACUGUCGGGCAACAGGUUCCGAACGGUUGAUAUUGACGUUAACCUAACGGUUGUCUUUUUGUGACGGUUGUCUUUGUUUGUGUGAAUUAUUCAAUAA